UACGGAAGGCAGCAGUGGGGAAUAUUGCACAAUGGGCGCAAGCCUGAUGCAGCCAUGCCGCGUGUAUGAAAAAGGCCUUCGGGUUGUAAAGUACUUUCAGCCGUGAGGAAGGUGUUAAGGUUAAUAACCUUAGCAAUUGACGUUAGCGACAGAAGAAGCACCGGCUAACUCCGUGCCAGCAGCCGCGGUAAUACGGAGGGUGCGAGCGUUAAUCGGAAUUACUGGGCGUAAAGGGCACGCAGGCGGUUAAUUAAGUUGGAUGUGAAAUCCCCGGGCUUAACCUGGGAAUGGCAUUCAAGACUGGUUAGCUAGAGUCUUGUAGAGGGGGUAGAAUUCCAUGUGUAGCGGUGAAAUGCGUAGAGAUGUGGAGGAAUACCGGUGGCGAAGGCGGCCCCUGGACAAAGACUGACGCUCAUGUGCGAAAGCGUGGGGAGCAAACAGGGAUUAGAUACC
rnacentral:rRNA from 1 species